rnacentral:rRNA from 1 species
UACGGGGGGAGCAAGCGUUGUUCGGAUUUACUGGGCGUAAAGGGCGCGUAGGCGGUCAGCACAAGUCAGUUGUGAAAUCUCCGGGCUUAACUCGGAAAGGUCAACUGAUACUGUGCGACUAGAGUGCGGAAGGGGCAACUGGAAUUCUUGGUGUAGCGGUGAAAUGCGUAGAUAUCAAGAGGAACACCUGCGGCGAAGGCGGGUUGCUGGGCCGACACUGACGCUGAGGCGCGAAAGCCAGGGGAGCGAACAGG